rnacentral:rRNA from 1 species
UACGGAGGGUGCGAGCGUUGUCCGGAAUCAUUGGGCGUAAAGGGCGCGUAGGUGGCGCGGUAAGCGUGCGGUGAAAGCCUGGGGCUCAACCCCGGGUCGGCCGUGCGAACUGCUGGGCUUGAGCACUGUAGAGGCAGGCGGAAUUCCGGGUGUAGCGGUGGAAUGCGUAGAGAUCCGGAAGAACACCGGUGGCGAAGGCGGCCUGCUGGGCAG